ensembl:lncRNA
GCAGGGUAUUCACUACACAGAAAUACAUAUUACACCUAACAUCGGCUACUUGCGCUACAAGUAAUAAAAUAAAAUACCCCCGCCUAGCAUCAAAUAAAAACAAAAUAUCACGUACACACCAGUUCCGAUACUUUUUUACAUGACUGUACAAGAAUCUGAGAGGAAGGAAGAGUUGCAGGGACAGCAGACCAAAGGUUUGUAAUAGCAUGGCGGUUGUCCAUGACUUCUACUGUCAUUAAGUAGAGGACUACAAGUCAACAGUUCACAGUAACAGGAUAAGAAGACACUAACGUCCUAGAGAAGUCCCUCGCAGUAUCCAGAGGCAACCUGGCCUGAGCCGACACGGAGAAUAAUCAUACAUCCUUUCAUUCUGUUACCGAAGUCUGUCGUUGGGGCUGUUAUAGUAGAAGAAACUCUUUAGCGCGACCGUUUACAUCAACUGUGAAGUUACGGAUCGCCUUAAUGAUAGAGAUCUCUAUUGUGUACAUAACCUUUCAAGAUCAAUUAAAAAACGAGUUAAUUAAAAACAUCCUGUGCUAUUAGCGUUCUAGGACUUUAUAAGAGGUUGAUUGGAGUGGCCGAACUGUGCUUCUGUCAGCGUCAUGGGUGAACCCACUAGUCUGUUAUCAUCUGAAGUAAAGCUGGAGUCUUUUGACCUGAAUAUAACCUACUUUUGUGCUUUUUUUGUGUUUUUGUUCAAUUGACCAAAUACUAUGAGUACUCCCAAAUGACUCCCAAUUCCCUUCAUGGUGAUCAACGUUUGACAUUAACCCUGUUGUCGCUGCUCAAAAGUAGCACACCACUUUAGCAAUCGGAGACAAUUUGGGACCAAGUAACCAACUACCUCCCUACACCCUGAGUGUCAGAUAUGCCUCCAGUUGGACUGCAAGGUUGUGUUUCUAUUUCGGAUAAGGUCUGGAUAGCGAACCAUCCUGACACUUUAAAGAGAAACUGAAGUAACACUGUAGGUAAAACUCAGUCAUAUACACCACAGCGGAAACUGGGGCGAUGCAGUCGGAUCAAGAUGUUCAAUAGUAUAUACAUUGACGGUUAAAGAAAAGAAAACAGUUGGAAUCAGAAGAUUCGCCCAGAUGCCUGCUCUAGCACUUUAGCAGCUGCCUUGCCAGACUACCUCUCUCCAGCAGUGAAUGUCGGGCGAAGACCCGGUGGUCUGACGACCACAGACGGGCCGUCGCCCCACUGCAACACAACUGCAACCUUACAGAUGGGGUUAGGAUGCAUUGUAUUGGAUGGAGAGACGGGACUUCCUGGCAAUUGCCAAUUCCAGCAACCCGUGAGAGCACUAC